CAGUCGCCGCGGGAAUACGGAGGGUGCAAGCGUUAAUCGGAUUUACUGGGCGUAAAGCGCACGUAGGCGGAUCGAUCAGUCAGGGGUGAAAUCCCAGAGCUCAACUCUGGAACUGCCUUUGAUACUGUCGAUCUGGAGUAUGGAAGAGGUGAGUGGAAUUCCGAGUGCAGAGGUGAAAUUCGUAGAUAUUCGGAGGAACACCAGUGGCGAAGGCGGCUCACUGGUCCAUUACUGACGCUGAGGUGCGAAAGCGUGGGGAGCAAACAGGAUUAGAGACCCGCGUAGUCCCUGUCUCUUAUAC
rnacentral:rRNA from 1 species